rnacentral:rRNA from 1 species
CCUACGUGAGGCAGCAGUGGGGAAUAUUGGGCAAUGGGCGCAAGCCUGACCCAGCACAGCCGCGUGAAGGAAGAAGGCUUUCGGGUUGUAAACUUCUUUUGUCAGGGAAGAGUAGAAGACGGUACCUGACGAAUAAGCCACGGCUAACUACGUGCCAGCCGCCGCGGUAAUACGUAGGUGGCAAGCGUUGUCCGGAUUUACUGGGUGUAAAGGGCGUGUAGCCGGGUUGACAAGUCAGAUGUUAAAUCCUGCGGCUUAACCGCAGAACUGCAUUUGAAACUGUUGAUCUUGAGUACUGGAGAGGCAGAUGGAAUUCCUAGUGUAGCGGUGAAAUGCGUAGCUAUUAGGAGGAACACCAGUGGCGAAGGCGGUCUGCUGGACAGCAACUGACGGUGAGGCGCGAAAGCGUGGGGAGCAAACAGGAUUAGAUACCCCUGUAGUC